AAGCUAAAAGUAGCGUAGCCUAAAACGAAAGCUAAAAGUAGCCUAGUAGCCUUACAAGUGAGCAGAAACAGCUUUAUUAAAGUGUAUUUUCUUUGCCUUGUAGUUUAUGGGAAGCGGUGCGACGUCUUCACAACUUCGAGACAAAUUAUAGGCGCUACGAACCAGAGCAAGGCCGCCUGUAAGACGUAUUUUGAGACGGUACGCAGGAGCUUCAGGUUUUGCCAGCCGGAACACUCAUUGCGGGCGUAAGCUCCGAGAGAUUCAGCGCUGAGUCGAGCGAGAAGAAAGAGGCUGCUGGAAUUGAGGCAAAGUGUGCUGGCUGAUGACGAG